AGCUUUGUUCAGUGGCAGUAUUGUAACCAAUGAGGUUAAUCCGAGGUGUGAUUAUUGCUAAUUGAAAGAAUGCAGUCCAAUAAACACAUCUUUUGCCUGCUAUAUCAUACACUUUUGGAGGUGGAGAAGUAUAUUUGGCAUAAUCCCAUAGCAU